CGCCUUGCCAGCCCGCUCAGAAACUUAAAGGAAUUGACGGGGCCCGCACAAGCGGUGGAGCAUGUGGUUAAUUCGAUGAUACGCGAGGAACCUUACCUGGGCUCAAAUGUAUGUUGACGUAUUCUGAAAGGGAUACUUCUUCGGACAAUAUACAAGGUGCUGCAUGGUUGUCGUCAGCUCGUGCCGUGAGGUGUCGGGUUAAGUCCCAUAACGAGCGCAACCCCUAUCAUUAGUUGCCAUCAGGUCAAGCUGGGGACUCUAAUGAAACUGCCUACGCAAGUAGUGAGGAAGGUGGGGAUGACGUCAAAUCAGCACGGCCCUUACGUCCAGGGCUACACACGUGCUACAAUGGCCGGUACAAAGGGCAGCUACCUGGUGACAGGAUGCUAAUCUCAAAAGCCGGUCUCAGUUCGGAUCGGAGUCUGCAACCCGACUCCGUGAGGUUGGAUUCGCUAGUAAUCGCGCAUCAGCCAUGGCGCGGUGAAUACGUUCCCGGGCCUU
rnacentral:rRNA from 1 species